rnacentral:misc_RNA from 1 species
AAUUCAUGUAACAUUUGUCCACCACUUGUUUUGAAUUAAUCCUAUGGAUGAUGUUCUUCUCACCUCUCCAUACCUUUGAGUUAUAGAGCCUAAAUAUUUGAGUUGUGUUCUUUGUUGGACAUUCACGCCAUCUAGUCUAAUCCCACUUCAACUACUUCCCAUAUCAUUACCAAAGUAACAAUGAAUGUGUUGUUUUGUUUCUACUUAAGUUGGAAACUAUUAGAGACUCGGUGCUUCUCAAUCAAUGGCUCCAACUUUUUUUAGUGCCAUGCUGGGUGUCAUCUAUUUAAAUUAUCUACAAAUGUUAUACACCAAAAUCUAUCCUCUUGGAUGUGUUUUGUCUACUCAUUCAUGACUUAAAGAGUGAAAAAAUAAAGUUGUGUGUAAUUCAACUAUGACAAAG